GACGAACGCUGGCGGCGUGCUUAACACAUGCAAGUCGAACGGAAAGACCCUGCUUUUGUGGGGUGCUCGAGUGGCGAACGGGUGAGUAACACGUGAGUAACCUGCCCUUGACUUUGGGAUAACUUCAGGAAACUGGGGCUAAUACCGGAUAGGAGCUCCUGCUGCAUGGUGGGGGUUGGAAAGUUUCGGCGGUUGGGGAUGGACUCGCGGCUUAUCAGCUUGUUGGUGGGGUAGUGGCUUACCAAGGCUUUGACGGGUAGCCGGCCUGAGAGGGUGACCGGCCACAUUGGGACUGCGAUACGGCCCAGACUCCUACGGGAGGCAGCAGUGGGGAAUAUUGCACAAUGGGCGGAAGCCUGAUGCAGCAACGCCGCGUGCGUGAUGACGGCCUUCGGGUUGUAAACCGCUUUCGCCUGUGACGAAGCGUGAGUGACGGUAAUGGGUAAAGAAGCACCGGCUAACUACGUG
rnacentral:rRNA from 1 species